CCGAUAACCAAUCUCCCGCUGGCUGGUCUAGAUUCGUCAUCUUGUAAGAUUGUAUGUUUGUGAAUGAGGUUCGCCGUUUGAAAGGAGAAGACCCAAGAUGGCGAAGCGACGUCUCCCGAUGAUUGUCUUUGUUUCAGUGAUAUUUCUUGGCACUUUGUAUCCCUUUGGUCUGCUAGUGAUGGUCACAAGGACCCCGAAUGUGUUGAAUACUAAGCACUUGUGUCUUCAAACAAAGUAUGACCAUACAGUCAUCAAGGAAACACAGAGACUAAAUGAUACUGAGCACGUGUAUCUUCAAACAACGACUGAACGUGCAGUCACCAGGGAG